AAAUUGAAGAGUUUGAUCAUGGCUCAGAUUGAACGCUGGCGGCAGGCCUAACACAUGCAAGUCGAACGGUAACAGGAAGCAGCUUGCUGCUUCGCUGACGAGUGGCGGACGGGUGAGUAAUGUCUGGGAAACUGCCUGAUGGAGGGGGAUAACUACUGGAAACGGUGGCUAAUACCGCAUAACGUCGCAAGACCAAAGAGGGGGACCUUCGGGCCUCUUGCCAUCAGAUGUGCCCAGAUGGGAUUAGCUAGUUGGUGAGGUAACGGCUCACCAAGGCGACGAUCCCUAGCUGGUCUGAGAGGAUGACCAGCCACACUGGAACUGAGACACGGUCCAGACUCCUACGGGAGGCAGCAGUGGGGAAUAUUGCACAAUGGGCGCAAGCCUGAUGCAGCCAUGCCGCGUGUAUGAAGAAGGCCUCGGGUUGUAAAGUACUUUCAGCGGGGAGGAAGGUGUUGUGGUUAAUAACCGCAGCAAUUGACGUUACCCGCAGAAGAAGCACCGGCUAACUCCGUGCCAGCAGCCGCGGUAAUACGGAGGGUGCAAGCGUUAAUCGGAAUUACUGGGCGUAAAGCGCACGCAGGCGGUCUGUCAAGUCGGAUGUGAAAUCCCCGGGCUCAACCUGGGAACUGCAUUCGAAACUGGCAGGCUUGAGUCUUGUAGAGGGGGGUAGAAUUCCAGGUGUAGCGGUGAAAUGCGUAGAGAUCUGGAGGAAUACCGGUGGCGAAGGCGGCCCCCUGGACAAAGACUGACGCUCAGGUGCGAAAGCGUGGGGAGCAAACAGGAUUAGAUACCCUGGUAGUCCACGCCGUAAACGAUGUCUACUUGGAGGUUGUGCCCUUGAGGCGUGGCUUCCGGAGCUAACGCGUUAAGUAGACCGCCUGGGGAGUACGGCCGCAAGGUUAAAACUCAAAUGAAUUGACGGGGGCCCGCACAAGCGGUGGAGCAUGUGGUUUAAUUCGAUGCAACGCGAAGAACCUUACCUGGUCUUGACAUCCACGGAAGUUUUCAGAGAUGAGAAUGUGCCUUCGGGAACCGUGAGACAGGUGCUGCAUGGCUGUCGUCAGCUCGUGUUGUGAAAUGUUGGGUUAAGUCCCGCAACGAGCGCAACCCUUAUCCUUUGUUGCCAGCGGUUAGGCCGGGAACUCAAAGGAGACUGCCAGUGAUAAACUGGAGGAAGGUGGGGAUGACGUCAAGUCAUCAUGGCCCUUACGACCAGGGCUACACACGUGCUACAAUGGCGCAUACAAAGAGAAGCGACCUCGCGAGAGCAAGCGGACCUCAUAAAGUGCGUCGUAGUCCGGAUUGGAGUCUGCAACUCGACUCCAUGAAGUCGGAAUCGCUAGUAAUCGUGGAUCAGAAUGCCACGGUGAAUACGUUCCCGGGCCUUGUACACACCGCCCGUCACACCAUGGGAGUGGGUUGCAAAAGAAGUAGGUAGCUUAACCUUCGGGAGGGCGCUUACCACUUUGUGAUUCAUGACUGGGGUGAAGUCGUAACAAGGUAACCGUAGGGGAACCUGCGGUUGGAUCACCUCCUUA
rnacentral:rRNA from 1 species